GGCGCACGGGUGCGUAACACGUAUGCAACCUACCUUUAACUGGGGCAUAGCCCCGAGAAAUCGGGAUUAAUACCCCAUAACAUUGCGGCAUCUAAAGUUCCGGUUAAAGAUGGGCAUGCGCGACAUUAGCUGGUUGGUGAGGUAACGGCUCACCAAGGCUACGAUGUCUAGGGGUUCUGAGAGGAUUUACCCCCACACUGGUACUGAGACACGGACCAGACUCCUACGGGAGGCAGCAGUAAGGAAUAUUGGGCAAUGGGCGCAAGCCUGACCCAGCCAUGCCGCGUGCAGGAUGACGGCCUAUGGGUUGUAAACUGCUUUUGUACGGGAAAAAUGAUGUUACCGUAAGAAUAAGCAUCGGCUAACUCCGUGCCAGCAGCCGCGGUAAUACGGAGGAUGCAAGCGUUAUCCGGAUUCAUUGGGUUUAAAGGGUGCGCAGGCGGAGCGAUAAGUCAGUGGUGAAAGCCUACAGCUCAACUGUAGAAUUGCCAUUGAUAC
rnacentral:rRNA from 1 species